CGUUGGUGAACCAGCGGAGGGAUCAUUAUCGAGUUCUAUACUCAAAACCCCUUGUGAACAUACCAAUUACAGUUGCUUCGGCAGGCUGUCGGAUAUACCCUCAGGUGCGAUUGUACCGUUGGCAACCCGGCCGCUCCAGACCGGCCUGCCGAAGGUCUUAAACUCAACGUAUACGCUUCUGCAUUAAAGUCUGAGUGUAAAAGAAAUAAGUUAAAACUUUCAACAAUGGAUCUCUUGGUUCUGGCAUCGAUGAAGAACGCAGCGAAAUGCGAUAAGUAAUGUGAAUUGCAGAAUUCAGUGAAUCAUCGAAUCUUUGAACGCACAUUGCGCCCGCUGGUAUUCCGGCGGGCAUGCCUGUUCGAGCGUCAUCUCACCAUUCAAGCAUCGCUUGGUGUUGGCUGACAUGGUAUAUGGAUUAACUAGCGCUUUAGCGUGUUUGUGAUCCUCCUAUGUAGCUUAAAUAUAGCGGCGGAACGGUGUUGAGUUUCCCCUACGCGGUAAAAAAUCUCGUAUUGGAUAACCUUCCCGUUUUAGCUAAUAACCAAUGAGGGCUUCGGCCCUAUCUAGGUUUGACCUCGAAUUAGGUAGGAAUACCCGCUGAACUUAAGCAUAUCAAUAAGCGGAGGAAAAGAAACC
rnacentral:rRNA from 1 species